rnacentral:rRNA from 1 species
AUAACUAAGCGGUGGAAAAGAAACCAAAUGGGAUUUCCUGAGUAACGGCGAGCGAAAAGGAAAGAGUCCAGCGCCAAGUCUUGACACAGAUGUGUGUUCAAGAGAUGCGGCGUUAAUGUAUUGGCGCAUCAUACAUUGCUUACUGUUUCAAGUUCCUUUGACAGGGACAUCCAGAGCGGGUGCUAGGCCCAUAGGAAACUGGUAUAGGCUGAUGUAUGCAGGCCAAUUCAUUCUAGAGUCAAGUUGCUUGAGAGUGCAGCUUAAAGUAGGUGGUAAACUCCAUCUAAGGCUAAAUAUGACAGCGAGACCGAUAGCAAACAAGUACCGUGAGGGAAAGUUGCAAAGCACUUUGAAGAGAGGGUUAAAUAGUACGUGAAACCACUGGGAGGUAAACAGAUGGAGCCACGAAGUGUGCGCCUCAGUCGAUUCAAUCAACACUUGUAAUUAGGGGUGCUUUCUUGUGAAUCUUUUUCGGAGAUUGAAGGAGCGCUCUCUUAAUUCGAAUUGCAGGUGUUGAUGCAUUUCGUGCUGAGGAUGCGAAGCCACGUUCGAUUAGAUGGUUGGGACGGCCGUAGGAAACAAUUUGGAAAAGGUAGCCGUGAAAUGUGUUUCACAUUUUGUGGUGUUAUAGUUCCAGAUUGAUGAACCGUCGCCUAACGUACUGAUCGAUAUAAUUUCUCCUAUAAAAAAAUAUAUUGGGAGUUGUGUAAAAGUUCAUGUCUACUCAUUGCAAUUAGGAAGUGGAUGAGAGUGCUUGCUUUCUGUUUCUUUGUUGGGGGUAGAAAGUCAUUUUCGUGUUGCUUGUUAAUUGUAAUGAAAUGUGUGUGACAUGAAUUAAACUGUGGUGCGAGUAGGUCGGUAUCCAUCUGACCCGUCUUGAAACACGGACCAAGGAGCCUAUCAUAUACGCGAGUCGCUCGGUCUUGUUUAGGCCAGAGAGGCAAAAUGAAAGUGAUUGUGCUACGAGGUUUUCCWAUUUAUAUGAGGGGAUAACUGCAGUAGCGGUCCGCCUACUUCGUUUAGAUGGCGAUUUGGCGGAAUCGGAGCGUAUACGAUGGUACCCGAAAGAUGGUGAACUAUGCCUGGGCAAGACGAAGCCAGAGGAAACUCUGGUGGAGGUCUGUAGCGAUUCUGACGUGCAAAUCGAUCGUCAGACCUGGGUAUAGGGGCGAAAGACUAAUCGAACCAUCUAGUAGCUGGUUCCCUUCGAAGUUUCCCUCASGAUAGCAGGCGCUUAAUUAAUUCAGUCUCAUCCGGUAAAGCUAAUGAUUAGAGGUCUUGGGGUUGAAACGACCUCAACCUAUUCUCAAACUUUAAAUGGGUGAGAUGGUUGACUUGCUUAACAUUUUUUGAAGCCAACCGAUAGGAUGUGAGUGCCUAGUGGGCCAGCUUUGGUAAGCAGAACUGGCGCUGUGGGAUGAACCAAACGUCGAGAUAAGGCAUCAAAUGCGCACGCUCAUGAGAUCCCAGAAAAGGUGUUGGUUGCUAUAGACAGCAGGACGGUGGCCAUGGAAGUUGGAAUCCGCUAAGGAGUGUGUAAUAACUCACCUGCCGAAGCAAUUAGCCCUGAAAAUGGACGAUGCUGUAGCGUGGAGCCGAUGCUCGGCCGUAAUGGUGGAAUGGAAUGUUAGAGGCCAUUACGAGUAGAAGGGCCGCAAUGAUAGCGUUGAAGUAUUGAGACGUGAGUCUGUAUGGAGCUGUCAUUGUUGCAGAUCUUGGUGGUAGUAGCAAAUACUCAAGUGAGAACCUUGAGGACUAAGGAGGAGAAGGGUUCCAUGUGAACAGCAGUUGGACAUGGUUGAGUCGGUCCUAAGGAGGCGGAGAAAUCCGUUGAAAAGAGGUGAAGAAAAAUUUAAAAAGUGAAAAGUAACUGAGUUUCCGAAAGGGAAUUGGGUUAAUAUUCCCAAACUAAGACAUGGAGGGCGUAUUCUUAUGAAUAUGAGAGCGGUAACGCAAUCAAAUUCGGAGACAUCGGCGGCAGUCCUGGGAAGAGUUUUCUUUUCUCUAUAAGGUAUCGAAUCCAUGAAAAUAGUUUGCCUGGCGAUAUGGAAGUUGGUGCCGAAGAGCUCAGCGGUUCUUGCUGAGUCCGGUGCACUGCUGUCGGUCCUUGAAAAUCCGAAGGCGAGUGUUGACCUCUAUGCUUAGCCGUACCGAUAUCCGCAGCAGGUCUCCAAGGUUAGCAGCCUCUAGUUUCUAGAAUAAUGUAGGUAAGGGAAGUCGGCAAAAUGGAUCCGUAACCUCGGGAUAAGGAUUGGCUCUGAGGGAUGGGCCGUUCGGGCUUUGUUGCCGGAAGAAAGUGUGACACCUAGGUGUAAAGUCUGACUGCUCUGGUGAGCGGGUGGACCUGCGCUGGUGUUUGCUUUUGGACGGCCAAGGCUACACCCCCUUCCUCCGUGGGUUGGGGUGUGUUGUAUCGGACGGCAACUUGAUGCAUCCUAAUCAGAACUGGCACGGACUACGGGAAUCCGACUGUCUAAUUAAAACAAAGCAUUGCGAUGGC